rnacentral:rRNA from 1 species
CAGCAGCCACGGUAGUACGUAGGUGGCAAGCGUUGUCCGGAAUUAUUGGGCGUAAAGCGCGCGCAGGUGGUUUAAUAAGUCUGAUGUGAAAGCCCACGGCUCAACCGUGGAGGGUCAUUGGAAACUGUUAAACUUGAGUGCAGAAGAGGAGAGUGGAAUUCCACGUGUAGCGGUGAAAUGCGUAGAGAUGUGGAGGAACACCAGUGGCGAAGGCGACUCUCUGGUCUGUAACUGACGCUGAGGAGCGAAAGCGUGGGGAGCGAACAGGAUUAGAUACCCCGGUAGUCCCUGUCUCUUAUAA